rnacentral:rRNA from 1 species
GACGAACGCUGGCGGCGUGCUUAACACAUGCAAGUCGAACGGAAAGGCCCUGCUUUUGUGGGGUGCUCGAGUGGCGAACGGGGGAGUAACACGUGAGUAACCUGCCCUUGACUUUGGGAUAACUUCAGGAAACUGGGGCUAAUACCGGAUAGGAGCUCCUGUUGCAUGGUGGGGGUUGGAAAGUUUCGGCGGUUGGGGAUGGACGCGCGGCUUAUCAGCUUGUUGGUGGGGGAGUGGCUUACCAAGGCUUUGACGGGUAGUCGGCCGGGGAGGGUGACCGGCCACCUUGGGACUGAGAUACGGCCCAGACUGCUACGUGAGGCAGCAGUGGCGAAUCUUACACAAUGAGCGGAAGCCUGAUACAGCAGCGCCGCGUGCGGGAUGACGGCCUUCGGGUUGUAAACCGCUUUCGCCUGUGACGAAGCUUGAGUGACGGUAAUGGGUAAAGAAGCACCGGCUAACUACGUG